CAGUCGCCACGGGAAUACGAAGGGGGCUAGCGUUGUUCGGAAUUACUGGGCGUAAAGCGCACGUAGGCGGAUCGAUCAGUCAGGGGUGAAAUCCCAGGGCUCAACCCUGGAACUGCCUUUGAUACUGUCGAUCUGGAGUAUGGAAGAGGUGAGUGGAAUUCCGAGUGUAGAGGUGAAAUUCGUAGAUAUUCGGAGGAACACCAGUGGCGAAGGCGGCUCACUGGUCCAUUACUGACGCUGAGGUGCGAAAGCGUGGGGAGCAAACAGGAUUAGAUACCCGAGUAGUCCCUGUCUCUUAUAC
rnacentral:rRNA from 1 species